AGGGGGAAGCCGGUGCGAAUCCGGCGCUGACCGCGCAACCGUGAACCGCCGCACCGGUGGUGAGCCGGACCACCC
rnacentral:ncRNA from 2 species